GAAAUGCGAUAAGUAAUGUGAAUUGCAGAAUUCAGUGAAUCAUCGAAUCUUUGAACGCACCUUGCGCUCCUUGGUAUUCCGAGGAGCAUGCCUGUUCGAGCGUCAUUACAACCCUCAGGCCCCCGGGCCUGGCGUUGGGGAUCGGCGGAAGCCCCCUGCGGGCACAACGCCGUCCCCCAAAUACAGUGGCGGUCCCGCCGCAGCUUCCAUUGCGUAGUAGCUAACACCUCGCAACUGGAGAGCGGCGCGGCCACGCCGUAAAACACCCAACUUCUGAAUGUUGACCUCGAAUCAGGUAGGAAUACCCGCUGAACUUAAGC
rnacentral:misc_RNA from 1 species